rnacentral:rRNA from 1 species
UACGUAGGGUGCAAGCGUCAAUCGGAAUUACUGGGCGUAAAGAGCUCGUAGGCGGUUUGUCGCGUCGGCCGUGAAAACUUGGGGCUUAACUCCAAGCUUGCGGUCGAUACGGGCAGACUUGAGUUCGGCAGGGGAGACUGGAAUUCCUGGUGUAGCGGUGAAAUGCGCAGAUAUCAGGAGGAACACCGGUGGCGAAGGCGGGUCUCUGGGCCGAUACUGACGCUGAGGAGCGAAAGCGUGGGGAGCGAACAGG